UGAAUAAUCUUCUAUGGCAUAGAUCAAGCGGGUAGAAAAAGGUAUUUUGUAGCCAUAACUAUUUAGCAUUUUCCGAACAAUCUGGGAUCAGCUAGAGGAAGGUAUCUUACUACUAUUUCAAAAAAUAUUGUGAACCUAUAACUAUGUUAGCCUUUGUGCCAUCUUCUUUUAGUCCACACAAAAUAGAUAUUUGAAAUGCGUUUUACGCCAUGGAGUCGAUAAUUUGGAGAGAAUUAGAAGAUGAACCACAUUGAUAAAAUAUUCAUAUUUAAAUUACAUAUUUCAUGUUA
rnacentral:lncRNA from 1 species